rnacentral:misc_RNA from 1 species
UUUAAAUGGGGAAAGGGGGGGUUUUUUAGGAAAAAAAAAUUUCCCUCAACGGGGGGGGGGGGGGGCUUUUUUUUAAAAGAAUACUCCCUUACAAAAGAAGAGGGCGGCCUCCUUUUUUUAUAAUAACGGAUCUCACCCUCCAAAGGGGAAAUUAAUAAUCAGUUAAAUGCUAUAAGUAAUGCGAAUUGCAGAAUUCAGUGAAUCAUCGAAUCUUUGAACGCACAUUGCGCCCCGUGGUAUUCCGCGGGGCAUGCCUGUUCGAGCGUCAGUACAACACUCAAGCUCUGCUUGGUAUUGGACCACAUCAGCUCUGACUGAUCGGGCUUAAAAUCAGUGGCGGUGCCAUCGGGCUCUAUGCGUAGCACCCUCCUCGCUACAGGGUCUCGGGGCGUGCGGGGCGCACCCCCAACUUUCUAAGGUUUGACCUCGAUCAGGUACGGGAUCCCCCGCUGAACUCAAAGCAUAUCAAAAAAGCGGAGGAACUUGGGCCUUAAAAUUAAGAAAGGACUCCCACGAUUAACCCAAGCAUUUGAUUGGGUGAAAGAAAAAAAUUGCCCCUUUUUAAUAAAAAAAUUUUUUUUAUUUUGGUUUGGGAGACCCUCAAAUCAGGUAGGACUUACCCGCGGAAUUUAGGCUUAUGAACAGCCGGAGGGAAUUGUUGUUGAUGGACCGA